GAGCAAAGUGGGAUGAUCUGUCACUACACCUGCAGCACCACGCUCCGAGGACAGCUCCUUCUUGCAGCUUCCAGACUCAGGAAGCCUGAAGGGAAAGAAGGAAGUACAGGCGAAAGCAUCAGAUUGGCUUUCCAGAUUUGGGGAUCUGAAGCGGGCCCACAUCUUCCUGCCAACUUCCAUUGAACUUCCCAGCACUCUAAAGGGACCGAAAUGGAGAGCAAAGAACCCCAGCUGAAAGGGAUUGUGACAAGGUUAUUCAGCCAGCAGGGAUAUUUCCUGCAGAUGCAUCCAGAUGGUACCAUUGAUGGGACCAAGGACGAAAACAGCGACUACAGUAAGGAACGCCAGCUACUUGCAAUGCAGUGCAAAUAGAAUGCCUGGCCCAACACAGCCAUGCGGCUGUUUGGACUACUUGAUGAUCAGUGAGCUAGACUUUUCCCUUUUCCCUCCUUGCAGCUUUAUUCUCGUAUACUCU
rnacentral:lncRNA from 1 species